rnacentral:rRNA from 1 species
CUACGGGCUGCACCAGUGGGGAAUCUUGGACAAUGGGCGCAAGCCUGAUCCAGCCAUGCCGCGUGAGUGAAGAAGGCCUUAGGGUCGUAAAGCCCUUUCGCCAGAGAUGAUAAUGACAGUAUCUGGUAAAGAAACCCCGGCUAACUCCGUGCCAGCAGCCGCGGUAAUACGGAGGGGGUUAGCGUUGUUCGGAAUUACUGGGCGUAAAGCGCGCGUAGGCGGAUUAGUCAGUCAGAGGUGAAAUCCCAGGGCUCAACCCUGGAACUGCCUUUGAUACUGCUAGUCUUGAGUUCGAGAGAGGUGAGUGGAAUUCCGAGUGUAGGGGUGAAAUUCGUAGAUAUUCGGAGGAACACCAGUGGCGAAGGCGGCUCACUGGCUCGAUACUGACGCUGAGGUGCGAAAGUGUGGGGAGCAAACAGGAUUAGAUACCCGCUAGUC